rnacentral:rRNA from 1 species
UCGGGGGAAAGAUUUAUCGCCAUUGGAGUAGCCCGCGUUGGAUUAGGUAGUUGGUGAGGUAAAGGCUCACCAAGCCGACGAUCCAUAGCUGGUCUGAGAGGAUGAUCAGCCACACUGGGACUGAGACACGGCCCAGACUCCUACGGGAGGCAGCAGUAGGGAAUCUUGCGCAAUGGGCGAAAGCCUGACGCAGCCAUGCCGCGUGAAUGAUGAAGGUCUUAGGAUUGUAAAAUUCUUUCACCGGGGAAGAUAAUGACGGUACCCGGAGAAGAA